rnacentral:rRNA from 1 species
GACGAACGCUGACGGCGUGCUUAACACAUGCAAGUCGAAGGGAGUGGCGAACGGGUGAGUAACACGUGAGUAACCUGCCCUUUUCUUUGGGAUAAGCCUGGGAAACUGGGUCUAUUACUGGUAGGAUUGGGAUGGGCUCGCGGCUUGUCAGCUUGUUGGUGGGGUGUUGGCUUACCAAGGCUUUGACGGGUAGCCGGCCUGAGAGGGAGGUCGGUCACACUGGAACGGAGAUACGGCCCAGGCGCCUACGGAGGGGGGCAGUGGGGGAAAUGGGACAAAGUCCGAAGGUCUGAUGCAGCGUCGUCGUGUGGGGGAUGAGGGCCUUCGGGUUGUAAACUCCUUUCGGCCGGGGAAUGGUAGUGGGUAAAGAAGCGCCGGCUAACUACGUGCCAGCAGCCGCGGUAAUUC